rnacentral:rRNA from 1 species
AGCGAACGCUGGCGGCGUGGAUUAGGCAUGCAAGUCGAACGGGACUAUGGCCGCAAGGUCGUAGUUCAGUGGCGAAAGGGCGAGUAAUACAUCGAUCAUCUGCCCCAGGGACCGGAACAACACCUGGAAACGGGUGCUAAUGCCGGAUGGUCCAGAGAUGGUAAAGGGUGGGGACCGCAAGGCCUGCCGCCCAGGGAGAGUCGAUGGCCUAUCAGCUUGUUGGUGAGGAACGGCUCACCAAGGCGAAGACGGGUAGCCGGACUGAGAGGUUGGUCGGCCACACUGGGACUGAGACACGGCCCAGACUCCUACGGGAGGCAGCAGUGGGGAAUAUUGGACAAUGGGCGAAAGCCUGAUCCAGCAAUGCCGCGUGUGUGAAGAAGGCCU